UACAGAGGGGGCAAGCGUUGUCCGGAAUUACUGGGCGUACAGCGCGCGCAGGCGGUCCUGGACGUGCCGUGUGACAUCCGUCGGCUCAACCGACGGAGGCCAGGGUACACGACAGGACUGGAGACAGAGAGAGGGAUGUGGAAUACCCGGUGGAGCGGUGAAAUGCGUAGAGAUCGGGUGGAACACCAGGGGCGAAGGCGGCAUCCUGGCUCUGUUCUGACGCUGAGGCGCGAGAGCGUGGGGAGCAAACCGG
rnacentral:rRNA from 1 species